rnacentral:rRNA from 1 species
AGAGUUUGAUCAUGGCUCAGGCCUUUCGCUGGCGGCGUGCUUAACACAUGCAAGUCGAACGGCCCUCCCUUGAAAGAGUUUUCGGACAAUGGAGAGGAAUGCUUAGUGGCGGACUGGUGAGUAACGCGUGAGGAACCUGCCUUCCAGAGGGGGACAACAGUUGGAAACGACUGCUAAUACCGCAUGACACAUUUGAAUCGCAUGGUUUGAAUGUCAAAGAUUUAUCGCUGGAAGAUGGCCUCGCGUCUGAUUAGCUAGUAGGCGGGGUAACGGCCCACCUAGGCGACGAUCAGUAGCCGGACUGAGAGGUUGACCGGCCACAUUGGGACUGAGAUACGGCCCAGACUCCUACGGGAGGCAGCAGUGGGGAAUAUUGGGCAAUGGGCGCAAGCCUGACCCAGCAACGCCGCGUGAAGGAAGAAGGCUUUCGGGUUGUAAACUUCUUUUAAGAGGGAAGAGCAGAAGACGGUACCUCUUGAAUAAGCCACGGCUAACUACGUGCCAGCAGCCGCGGUAAUACGUAGGUGGCAAGCGUUGUCCGGAUUUACUGGGUGUAAAGGGCGUGCAGCCGGGACAACAAGUUCGAUGUGAAA